rnacentral:rRNA from 1 species
AUGGAAUUGAAUUGUAGUUGUAGGAGUCCACGUCCAGCUAGGCAGAAACAAAUCCAAGGAAUCCAUGGCGGCGGAAGAGACGACGACGACGACGACGAGGAUGGAGAUGGUGGCGCUGCGGAGCCAGGAGGGCGUGGAUUUCGUGGUUCCACCUUCUUACGUCGUAGGAUGGAGCUCGACCGCGACAACUACAUCGUCCCCGCCGACGGCGACGAGACCAAGUACACCCAUAUCUUGCUCCGCUCCAUCCGAGCCGACGUCCUACCCAAGGUUCUGCACUACUGCAAGAGGCACGCCAUUGCCACUGACGACGACCGGGCCCUCGGCGGCGAUUGGGACGCGGGGUUCAUCGGCAGCGUCGACCUCGACACCCUCUACGAUCUCAUCCUGGCUUCGGAGAAGCUCGAGGUCCGAGGGCUCCUCGGCCUGAGCUGCCGGGCCCUCGCCGACAAGAUCAAGGGGAAGUCGCCACGCGAGACCUGCCAUAUCCUCGACAUCAGGGGCAUCUUCGACGGACGCGGAUCUUUCACGCAUAUGCUUCGGAGCCCUGCUAUCUUGGCCAUCCGCCACUGUUGUGUGUCUCGAGAUGCGAGGAGAACCUAUGGGCACUUAAACUCUCGAUUAGCAGGAGUAGUUCUGAUAGAGGCGCUCCGAAGCAUAUGCCUUCUCAAAUAUUAUCCCGUCUUCGACGACGCCAAUCAUGACCUCAAGUUGGUGGAGAAGGCGUUGGCGGCUCUUAACAUAGUCCGUUGCCAAGACUUCACCCAAUACGAACCCAAGCUCAAUGCUUUCAAGUGUAGUCGAUACUACAACUUUGAGAACCUAGCCUUCUUCGACUUCGACAAAGAGUCUAGCUUCCAACGUGGUCCCCCGCUCCACAAGUUACCUUCACCCGAGUCGAUCCAACGAUAUUGCCUCAAUGUCAUUUCUGUCAAGGCGUGUGAAUCGGAUGUUGGCUAUCCGAUCAGCGUGUUUGGAACCGUUAUAGCGAGGGACUAUGUCGACUACAGAUGCGUCUAUCUGUUUAGGCGUGAAAGGGAUGAUCCCCAGCUCAUCAGCUCUCCCGAUGAUAUGUUAUCUUUGAUAGAUCCAUGUCGAGCGCUUGUUCCAAUAGACAACGUUUAUUUUGAGACUGAUUUAAAGAUCAAGUGUGAUGGAGGGGCAGAUAGAGUUUUCAGUAAAGGCAUAACGGAAUUCAAUUGGGUUUGCAUCCCUACAUACAAGCAAACCAUGACGGUCAGUGUGUAUAGUUUCCUGAGUGACGUGGAGUUUUUAUGUGCACUGGUUCACGAACCCGUAGAAGCCACCAUUGCAAUCAAUGUUUUGAAGGGCCCAUGUAAUAUCUCAAGAGUAGCCGCUUCGACUCCCGGAAACUUCAAGGAUCAAAUCGUUCCAUGCGAAUCAGCGGGCAGUCCGUCGGUAGUCGGCGAUGGUGAGUCCAUCCCGUUAACUCGGAGCGUGGUAGCUAUCUCGCUAGAUCGGAAGUUGACGCUCUUCCUUGUUGGUGGUGACGCGUGUGAACACCUUGCCCUCACUCUAGGAUAUUCCGAUCAAGUGCUUAUUCGCAAGAUGGGUUGUGCGGUGCUGGAGGUAAUAGUUGGGUGGACAUAUGUGCCGAAAAGAGAGAUGCCUAAUAUGUUUAAGGAUAUUGGAAAACAUACACGCCUCUUGCUGUGA